rnacentral:lncRNA from 7 species
GAGCUGGUCUGAAAUUCGGUCAUCUCUCCAUGAACCGUUCGUUUCGACCCGAAUCAAAAACAAAAGCGAUGUGGUUUGGAGUUUCCUCUCCCACUACUGUUCGGUACGAAUCCCGGUCUUCUACCCUCCGGAUCGAAUCUCGGUGAGACGGCGCAACACUGGCGAGUGGCGACCGAGGAGGCGAAGAGGAGGCUGAGCGAAGUGACGGCACAACACAGCCUCGACGGUGACCCUCCCCGUCGCCUUCUCACUAGUAAGUGUUGCAUCCUACCCUUUGUGUUCUUGAUGUCGUUGAGCACCACGACGACGGGGAUUCAUGUCCGAUUCUCGCCGCCCAGAGAACCAGACCCACACGGGGGGCUCUCUCCCGACACUAGAUGCAAGUGCGCCCCUCGAGCUCGCUGCCCCAUCUCUGCCUCAUCUGCCCCCUUUCUCCUCAUCCCAUCCCUGCUAAGAUUCGUCGUUAGUGCUAAGGUUCCUCGUGUUCUGAAUGGUUUUUGAAUGUACAUGCUACUACUCAAAUCCUGAAGCAAUACCCAAGUAAUACCAAGUCAGUUUUUUUACCGGAAAAAGAAAAGGCAGCAAUACCACCAUUCUUGCUUCCCUUGAAAAGUGCAGCGUUCGGUUAUUGUGGUAACCCUGCAAGAUGAUUGAAAAUGAUGGAUAUACACUGGAUGAAUAGUUAGAGAAUCCAUUAGUUGCAAGCUGAUUCAAAUAGUUUCAGUUUGUGUUUCAGUUUCUGCUUCAGAUUGUCACCAUUCUUACAAGUGUAUCCAUGGUUUAUAUAAACAAAUACACUAGCUGCACAUUUGGAUGUAAAUAUAUGAGCAGUUCAUGUUUAUGCAAUAGAAUACACUAGUUCACUGUCUGAAAAAAUAUGAAGUGAGGCAUAUUUAAUAGAAGGCUUUG